GAUGAAGAACGUAGCGAAAUGCGAUAAGUAAUGUGAAUUGCAGAAUUCAGUGAAUCAUCGAAUCUUUGAACGCACAUUGCGCCCGGCAGCAAUCUGCCGGGCAUGCCUGUCCGAGCGUCAUUUCUUCCCUCGAGCGCGGCUAGCCCUACGGGGCCUGCCGUCGCCCGGUGUUGGGGCUCUACGGGUGGGGCUCGUCCCCCCCCGCAGUCCCCGAAAUGUAGUGGCGGUCCAGCCGCGGCGCCCCCUGCGUAGUAGAUCCUACAUCUCGCAUCGGGUCCCGGCGAAGGCCAGCCGUCGAACCUUUUAUUUCAUGGUUUGACCUCGGAUCAGGUAGGGUUACCCGCUGAACUUAAGCAUAUCAAUAAGCGGAGGA
rnacentral:misc_RNA from 1 species